AGAUGGUCUCUCAGGCGGAGGUGGUUUGUUAGCAAUGGGAGGCGGGGGAGGGCUCUGCAUCUCUCUGAAAAUUCUCCUUCCAUGGGGAUCUGCAAAAGCUAGAAGAAAGGUUGAGAGAUCAAAAGUUUAGGCAUGCAAUAAGCUGCUAGAUAUUAACAUAUAUAUGAGAAAAAUGAUACCAACCUGACAUGCCCUGGGCCACAUGAAUUGUGAAGAUUGAAGCAAUCAAGAUGACUAGAAUCAUCCAACGAAAGAAAGAAGCUAGACCCAUGUUGACUCUUGAAUCGAAUUGCCUCUGACUGAUCU
rnacentral:lncRNA from 1 species